UACGGAGGAUCCAAGCGUUAUCCGGAUUUAUUGGGUUUAAAGGGUGCGUAGGCGGCCUGUUAAGUCAGGGGUGAAAGACGAUGGCUCAACCAUCGCAGUGCCUUUGAUACUGACGGGCUUGAAUGCAGCUGAGGUAGGCGGAAUGUGACAAGUAGCGGUGAAAUGCAUAGAUAUGUCACAGAACACCAAUUGCGAAGGCAGCUUACUAAAGUGUGAUUGACGCUGAGGCACGAAAGCGUGGGGAUCAAAC
rnacentral:rRNA from 1 species